rnacentral:rRNA from 1 species
GAUGAACGCUGGCGGCGUGCUUAACACAUGCAAGUCGAACGAAGCAUGUGGAACAAUCCUUCGGGUGCGUUCCAUAUGACUUAGUGGCGGACGGGUGAGUAACGCGUGGGGAACCUGCCGUAUGCAGGGGGACAACAGCCAGAAAUGGCUGCUAAUACCGUAUAAGCGCACAGUGCCGCAUGGCAUGGUGUGAAAAGAGUUAUCGGCAUACGAUGGACCCGCGUCUGAUUAGCCAGUUGGCAGGGUAACGGCCUACCAAAGCGACGAUCAGUAGCCGGCUUGAGAGAGUGACCGGCCACAUUGGGACUGAGACACGGCCCAGACUCCUACGGGAGGCAGCAGUGGGGAAUAUUGCACAAUGGGGGAAACCCUGAUGCAGCGACGCCGCGUGAGUGAAGAAGUAUUUCGGUAUGUAAAGCUCUAUCAGCAGGGAAGAAAAGGACAUCAGUCUUUGACUGGUGACAUAAAUGACGGUACCUGACUAAGAAGCUCCGGCUAAAUACGUGCCAGCCGCCGCAGUAAGAC